CCUACUGUAUCUUCACAGGCAUCAUGGAGGUCGUGGGACAAAUGCAGGAGCCCCUCUGCUCCAGCAGGGAUAACACACCUGGGACCUCGGACACUUGUGUGGAAUUCUGGGAGCUGUAGUCCAGACAGAAGCUCAUCAGGCAGUAAGCUGAGACACACCUCCUCCUCUUCAGUCAACUCCUCCUCAUCCUCCACCUUCGAGGAGUCCUGCAGUGAGAUUCAAUGACUUACACCACCUACAGAUCAGAACCUAAAGGAGUGAGGAUGAGCUGCAGCCUGUACUCACAUUUGCAAUGAGGUUAUCAAAGAACUGUUCCAACGCGGCUUCAUCCAUGACUAAGGAAUACUUCCAGGACCACUCAGGGACCUGGUUCUGAUCAAUGAGUAAACAAACUACC